rnacentral:rRNA from 1 species
UGAGGAAUAUUGGUCAAUGGACGGAAGUCUGAACCAGCCAAGUAGCGUGCAGGAUGACGGCCCUAUGGGUUGUAAACUGCUUUUGUAUGGGGAUAAAAGUCAAUCACGCGUGAUUGUUUGCAGGUACCAUACAAAUAAGGACCGGCUAAUUCCGUGCCAGCAGCCGCGGUAAUACGGAAGGUCCGGGCGUUAUCCGGAUUUAUUGGGUUUAAAGGGAGCGUAGGCUGGAGAUUAAGUGUGUUGUGAAAUGUAGACGCUCAACGUCUGACUUGCAGCGCAUACUGGUUUCCUUGAGUACGCACAACGUUGGCGGAAUUCGUCGUGUAGCGGUGAAAUGCUUAGAUAUGACGAAGAACUCCGAUUGCGAAGGCAGCUGACGGGAGCGCAACUGACGCUGAAGCUCGAAGGUGCGGGUAUCGAACAGGAUUAGAUACCCUGGUAGUCCGCACAGUAAACGAUGGAUGCCCGCUGUUGGUACCUGGUAUCAGCGGCUAAGCGAAAGCAUUAAGCAUCCCACCUGGGGGAGUACGCCGGCAACGGUG